rnacentral:miRNA from 1 species
AUUGAAGAACAAGGACAGACUCCCA